AUUUUUAAAGGGUAAGCCUGAAAUACCACUUUCACACGGAUACAAGCACCAGCGAAGAAAAUGGACCACAGAAGAGUGUUAACCAUUGUUUACCUUGUCUGUAUUGUAAUUGUAAAAUCUUACAAUUUUGAUGUGAGUAGUUUACUGCAAAAUCAUAAAUUCUUGUGAGGUUCUUUUUUAUUAAUGCGUAAAAUGUGACAGAGUGGUAAACGCAAUUAUUUAAACUCGCAUUUUGAAAUAUUGUAUAUGGAUAAAACAGGAUUAUUCUCAAAAUCGUAAAACUUAAAAUCGCACUUCAGUUUUAUAUGACAAAAUCGCAAUAAUAAAUGCACGCAAUAAUUUCUGAAUUUACAGUCUUGUUUUAAAUUUUUCAUUUUUAUACCCUUAUAAUAGCCUGAAUAUUGAUGUUAACACAUGCAUUUUGAGUACCGGGAUGGGGGAGGUAUAAUGAGUUGUUGAAAAGAAUUCAGACUUUGUUGAUAAUUAUAAACAUCCAAAUAUAAAUUACAAAUUGUUUCUCAAUUUAUUAUUUUUAUGUUUGUGUUUGUUUAAUGGAAUCCGAAAUAAAUGUACAAAAAUCAUGUUAAGUUCAUUUAUGAAAAUUAUUAUUACAUUUAAGAAAUAUGAUAAGAUGUAGUAAAAAUAUUUACGGUACCAACUGUUCUGCAACAAAUGCGCAUUAUUAUAAUAUAGUUUCCUUAAUGAUGGAUAAAAUAUAUGAAAUCCAAAGCGUAUAAAAAGAUUGAAGUUAUAUCGAAUAAGAUGCAGUUGAGAGGAAAUAGGGAAAAAGAUAAAAACACAACAACUAAAAUGUUUAUUAUAACACACACGAUAUUACAGAUGUUUCGAUUCUCAAAAUGUUCUCACACUUUUCGAAACAAGUCUAAAUGCAAAACUAAAAUCCAAUGAUAAUCAUAAGGGAAUAAAAGGGACAAACGAAUCUACAGGAAACACCAUUACCAAAAGAAUACUCAACUAAAACAAAACGAAACGUCAAUAGUACUCAACUAAAAUUACUGAAAAUUCACAGAUUUGAUUUGUUGUUCUCAAGAAUAGCAAGUAUCAAUUAACAGGCAAAUUAUUUCUUGACGACAUAUAUAAUGUUGUUAGGUUAUGUCAAACUUAUUAGUGUUAAGCUUGUCCCUCGUUUGCCUUCAUGUUAACUGUCUUACAACAAGCUUCCCGUAGUAAGAUAUGAUUUGUGUAACAUGACAUGAAAACCAAAACAUUGUGCUGAAUAUUCAGGAAAAACGAGAAUAUAUAUGGCUAUGAAAACAGGAAAAUAACAGUAAUCAUCGGUAUUAAAGAUAUGACGUAUAUAAAGAGUAACUAUUAAGUAACUUCAACUUUAGAAGACAUUAGAAUGACUCUUUUUUCCUGUGUUCAUCAUUUUGAAAUACUGGGUAUAAAAUGCAAUGAUAAUAUGAUUUGAAAAGUAAAAUCACAAAAAUACUGAACUCAGAGGAAAAUCAAUUCGGAAAGUCCAUAAUCACAUGGCAAAAUCAAAUAACAAAACGCAUCAAAAAUGAAUGGACAAAAACUGUCAUAUUCCUGACUUGGUACAGGCAUUUUCAAAUGUAGAAAAUGGUGGAUUGAACCUGGUUUUAUAGCUAGCUAAACCUCUCACUUGUAUGACAGUCGCAUCAAAUUUUCAUAUCUACAAAUACCUGACUGUAAUUGUUCCCUUACAAUUGAUCCAUGUUUUUGUCUUCGACAGACCAUGAUAAAACUUCACAAUGUAUAGUUAAUCAAAUAUGGAAGAAAGAAAAACACAAAUAGAUAUUUUUUACCUUAGUAAUGUCAAAAAGAUUAAAUGGAGUGAUAAAGACAAUCAACCGCUAGAAGACUUACAUUUUUUCUCCGUUACGGAAACGUUGACAGUGGUUAUCUAUACAAAACACGUAUAAAUAUGAACAAACAAUUAUUGACAAUAAAGUUUGCAACCCACACUUCACUAAACUAGAUUUUUUUUAUCAAAUCAAUUAGGUUAUUAAAAAAUAUGAUACACAAAUCAGUUAUCUACAAUUAUAGAGAUUAAACGUAAUGAACAAAUUUCUGUCGUAAAGAAUUUACUCGUGCAAAUGAAUCUGAGUUUCUUUUCUCUUUUAAUGAAUUCUGAAUUUGGAGUAUCAAAAUUGCAGAGAGAAAGCUUCCCAUUAUCAGGCUUAUAAUUGAAGAUGAAAGCAGUUUUGAAGCAUAUAUCAUUUGGAAUAUAAUGAGUUAUGAUACCUGUAACCAUAUGAAGUCUCUAUCUGACCAAAUAGAAUAUAAAGGUUUUUUUUAUUAAUGGUGUUUUGGUGAACAAUUAUGAUUACAAUGUAUAAGAAGAACCUGUCAAUAAUAGUCUCUGUAAUAGGUACUAGAAGAUGACUUAACGAUUAUCAAAAGGAACAGAAGGAACACCUUUGGUUUGUUUGUAUUUGGGGGGGGGGUUUCAUUUUGAAUAUACAAUUUGUUGGAUUUCGCAUUUCUCAUUUCUAUUUCAGACUAAUAACAGACCUAUGAAAAACAUAUUUCUCGACGAAUACACAAGAAUGGAUAAACAGCAACAACCCUUAUUAAAGUUAAACCAAAUCCUUCAAGAGUAUUAUAAAAAAGUAAGUUGAUAAAUUAUAGUCUGCUUACGUGAAUAAAUGUUUCCGCAUAUAAAAUUUAUAUGUUCGAAAGGUUCUUCCGGAUGUAAAAUGUAGUCAACAUGAACGCUCAAAACCAAAUAUUUGACAACCAGAGGAGUAUGGGUAAUUAGAAACGCUCUUCGCUAUUUGAUCAAACAGUGGCUAACAAGUUAACCAACUGCGGUCAAGCUUGUCCAACCGAUUUUUUUAAACAGAAUAUUGGAAUUCGAUUCGUUAGGUGUUGGGUUUGUUUUUUAUUUUGUGUUUUUUCAUUUAAAAAUUUCUAAAUGUUUAAGGAUGAUCGAUGGUACCAAAAUUUCAGCAAAAAUUUAAACAUACUUUUUUCAGUGCAAAUUUUAUUUAUUAGACAUAGGAAGAUAUGGUAUGAGUGCACUACAAACCAUUAAAAGUCUGAAAUGGCCUAUAUCUGUACUCGACUGUACUGAUUUUUACUCGACCAGUCUGAAUUGGUCUGAGAGUUACUUGAUAAUACUCGACUGUAGUCUGAACCAUACUUAACAGUCUGAAUGUGUACUUGACCAGUACUUACCCAUUGUAUACGAGUCUGAACCGUACUCGACCUAGUCUGAACCGACUCGACCUAGUCUGAACCGAAUCGACCUCGUCUGAACCAUACUCGACCUCGUCUGAACCAUACUCGACCAGUUCUUUACCAACCUAGACCUAUUCUUUGUAUCUAUCAACUGAAUUUUAUCAAUUUAGGAACUAUUUUUAAUAAAAAAUGAAAUUUGAACAACAACUUGAAAUUAAAAAUGUAUUCAAUACAGUAUUGAAAUUAAAAUUUCACAAUAAUCAAUCAUAAUUUAACUUCAACUCAAUAUUAAUCAACUCGUACAUCAUGUACAUAAUAAUAUAUAUCAACUUUUAAAAUAUAAAUUAAACAAGCUGAUCAAAUAAUCUAAAAAAAUGAAUUGUGAGUAAUAUUUUCAAUAUUAUUCAAAAUUUUAUGAAUGUUUAGGAUGUAUUUUGUGGUAACUGGACUAUUUUCACCAUUAACUUAAGCCUAGUAUAGAUUUAUGGUGUCAGUUGAGUUCAUGUAAUAAUGCAGUGAAUGGUUUUUUAUUAAGAUAUAUAAAUAGUAUAUAAAACAACUUAAUAAAUUUUUUAAAAAAAAUGAGAGCUUAAUUGUUUUGUUUUAUUAAACCAAGAAUUUAAUAUAAUCAUGAUAAUAGAACUUCCAUAGCAAUCCUUGAUAACCUUUUUAAAAAAGCAAAUGUAUUCCAAAGUAACAGUAAAAAAAAAAUCAAUUAAUUUAAGUAUUUUUUUUGUCAAAUUAACAUGGCAUACAUAAUGUGUGUUUUACAGGUAAAAAGAAAGCCCUAUUUUCUUAAAUUCGUGUAUUACUUUUCUAGUACAUACAUGUAUAUUCGAAAGGCCUUGUUAUUUAAUUUAAACAGGAUGUUUCAAUUUUGAAUCAAUGUUAUUUAGAAUUUAAUACCUCUGACCAGAUGUGAUCUUAUUUAUUUAUUUAAUUUCAUCCCUUUUUGAUAUAAGUUAUAUAUAAUAUUUUUUUUUAUCCUAAAUAUAAUCAGAGAUAUAUUUCUUUUAUAAGGUUACAUUUUUUUAUAAAUUGUGUUGGCUGUUGUUAUAUAAAAGUAUAUGUCAGUAAAAAAGAAAUUUAUUUUAACAGUUAAAAAAGUAGAGGUUUUUUGGUCUAGUAUGGUUCAGACUGGUCGAGUAUUGUUCAGACCUUUGGUUAAGUAUGGUUUAGACUGGAAAAAUAGGUCGAGUACAUGUCGAGAAUGGGUUAAGACUGUUUCAGACUGGUCGAGUAAUAGUUCAGACUAUUUUCAACGGCAAAGAUAAGGGUCAAGUAUGAUUCAGUACAGUCAAGUAUGGUUCAGACUUGGGGUCGAGUAAUGUCAAGUAAAAGUCAGACCAAUUCAGACUGGUCGAGUAAAAAUCAGUACAGUCGAGUACAGAUAUAGGCCAUUUCAGACUUUAAUGGUUUGUAGUGGUGCCAAUGAGACAACUCUCCAUCCAAAUAACAAUUUAUAAAAGUAAACCAUUAUAGGUCAAUUGACGGCCUUCAACACGGAGCCUUGGUUCACACCGAGCAACAAGCUAUAAAGCACCCCAAAAUUACUAGUGUAAAACCAUUCAACCAUGAAAACCAACGGUCUAUAGAUAAAGGAAAAUGUGGUGUGAGUGCCAAAAGUAAAUCAUUAUAGGUCAAUGUACGGCCUUCAACACGGAGCCUUGGCUCAAACCGAACAACAAGCUAUAAGGGCCCCAAAAUUGCAAGUGAAAAACCAUUCAAACGGGAAAACCAACGGUCUAAUCUAUAUAAAAUAAAAAAGGAGAAACGAGAAACACGUAUAAAUUACAUUAACAAACGACAACUACUGUACAUCAGAUUCCUGACUUAGAACAGGUGAAAACAUUUGCAGCGGGAUUAAACGUUUUAAUGGAUCCAAACCUUCUCCUUUUUUUCUGAAACAAUAGCAUAACAUCACAACAUAGAACACACACGAUAAAAUAUCAGUUGGCAGGCUUAACUCAAUCAAAAAAGUACAUUAAUACACUAUAAACUAAUACGUUUGAUCUGCGUUUUCACCAGGAUUAAACUUUUAAUUACUCUAUUAGUUGUUACUUUAUCAUAUGGUUCACAAAUCAACUCAAAAAAUCAAUACGUUUUAGCCCCAGAUGACUUUUAAAAUGUUUAUAUUAUUGAAAAGGCUACAAAUUAUCUCCCUUCGAUGCAAAAAAUGUCAUAUUUUUGCAUUAAAAUUGAAAUAUCUUUUUAAACACAUCGGUGACCUAUAUUUGUUAUUAUUGUUUUCGAUUAAGAUGUACUUAAAAUCAAUUAUUGUAAUAUUUAAGCGAUUUCUGUAAUUUAUUUCUUUUUUUAUUUCGAUAUAACCUCUAUUUCUCCUAAUAGUUCAACAGAAAAAAGUACCUUCACAAAAAUGUGUACUUCUUUGAAGAUAUAUUGUGAGCUUAAAUGAACGGUUACCCCAUUUGAAUAUUUUAUCUUUUUAUUAAGUAUAUGAUUAAAGAGGGACGAAAGAUACCAAAAGGACAGUCAAACUCAUAAAUCUAAAACAAACUGACAAAGCCAUGGCUAAAAAUGAAAAAGACAAACAGAAAAACAAGAGUACACAUGACAUAACAUAGAAAACUAAAGAAUAAACAACACGAACCCCACCAAAAAAUAGGGGUGAUCUCAGGUGCUCCGAAAGGGUAAGCAGAUCCUGCUCCACAUGCGGCACCCGUCGUGUUGCUUAUGUGAUUACAAAUCCGGUAAAUAGUCUAAUAAAGUUUAUUUAUAGACAAAUGUAGCGAAAUCCUGUAUUUAAAAAAAAAAGAUUUAUACACGCGAGCCUCCUUAACAUGCUUAAGCUGCUUCAUAACAUUACAGAGAUAACUCUGUAAAAAUCAGCUGAACGUUUAAAUCAGGUGUGUGAUUCAAGUUAUUUAUUUUUUUUUAUAUUUAUGUAAAAAGGUGAAAGUAAACAUCUAGUCAAAAUGUUAUGAUAAAUAAACGAGCCAAAUUAAUUUUGGUCUAGGGGUUUGUUACCACCUAAAGGAGAAAUGGUUUUGCGUCAUAUAAAUAUUUUGUAUUAUUUUUUAUCAUUUGCUAAAGAUAUCUUUUCUGAAAACAUAGUACAUAAAUCGCUGUUACUAUAUAUUAUCUAACAAUCAGCAAGUUUUUGCAUUACUGAUAUUGAAAGACAUAUAUGGAAAGUUAUAUUUUUCUUGUAGGGCAUACAUGUACAGGACAAAUACAAGAGAUUUUCAAUGUGCAAUCCAGGGGAAUGUUCAAAUAAUUGAAUUAUUGAAGAAAAAAUGUUGCAGAAAUACUGGAGUCUGUUAUUUUUCAUAUGAAUUUUACGGUGCAUUUUUUGUGGAGUUUAAUUAAAUGAAUUUUCAAGCAGUUUUUUUUUAACAUUUUGCGUAUCAUUGAGUCAUUUUGUAUCCUCAUUGCUAGAGAAAAUUUAAAAUAC
rnacentral:lncRNA from 1 species